rnacentral:lncRNA from 1 species
AUGGAGGAGGCGGCGGCGGAGGGAAGGGAGCGCGGACACGCGAAAGGGCCGCCCGGCCUGGGCGAGCGAGCGGGACCGAGCGGGGAGCGGGUGGAGGCGGCGCCACGGCGCGCACACACUCGCACACACGCGCUCCCACUCCACCCCCGGCCGCUCCCCGCCCGAGGGGCCGCGCGGCGGCCGCGGGGAACGAUGCAACCUGUUGGCGACGCUUGGCAACUGCAGGGGCGCCCGCGGUCCCUGCCCCCACGCCCUCCGCGCGGGCCCCGCCACCCCGGCCCCGACGGCGCCUGCACGCCCGCGGCCCCCGGCGUGGCAGCCCAGCUGGGCGCGCUGCGCUUCGUCCCCCGCCCCCAACUCCCCAGGAAAAAGACAGGGCGGCGGCGACGGGGGCCGACCUGGUCUCUCCGGGGCGGCGUUAGGAGGGCCACCGAGUUUCUCCAGUUUCUCUUCUCACUACCUCCUUCCCGCCCCCGCCCAGCUCCGCAGCUCCGGACCCACUCGGGAGCUCGCUCUGCCCCUUGGCGGCAAGCGCCGCCAGUGCCCCUGCGGGUGACAGCGGGCGGACCAGAGGAGUCGAGGCGCCGCCCGCGGCAGCGCUGCGCUAGUGGCCCGCGCCGCCGCCCCAGGGCCGAGUUGCGUGAAGUGUGUCACUUCGGUAGGGACUACGGGGUUGCACGGAAACGGUGCCGCAGCGUCUCCGCCGCGCUCGGGGCCGGGCGGCCAGACACGCCCUCUGAGGCGGCUUCAGGGAGGGGACUGGAGAGCGGGGGUCGGUGCAUACGUACUUUGGGCCCGGGGGGAGUCGCGUGCCGGCAGGUCCCCCACCACCGCAUCGUCUGGGCGGCCGGGUCUUCAGCUGCCGCCGCCGCGCUCUCGCACUGGGAGAGAAGUUGCAAAGCAGAACCCACCCUCCCCCGCGCCCCGACCGUCCCCCACCCUCUUCCCCGAGUCUGCGAGGCGGCGGCGGCAGAAGGAGGCGCCGCCUGCCAAGUUCAACCCCCACCCCUCCCGCCCAUUGCGCUCACACUCGAAGGAAGUUGCACGCCAAACGCAAAACCUCCAGCGAGCUGGAUUUCUUUGCACUUUUAUUAUUGUGAUUAA